GCCUGGGUGGCUCAGUCGGUUAAGCGUCUGACUUGGGCUCAGGUCAUGAUCCCAUGGCUUGUGGGUUUGAGCCCCAUGUCAGGCU
rnacentral:tRNA from 1 species